rnacentral:rRNA from 1 species
UAAACCUGUGGUCACGAGCAGAGUCUCAGAAGGAGCUGGGCCUGGAGAGACAAGUGGCGUGUGCUAAUCGUCCCCGUCGCCGCUCCUUCUACUGCUGCUGCUGCUGCUGCUGUUCCUUCUCUGGGAACUGCCAGGGACUCUACCGCGACUCCCACACGCACUAGGGGGAGCGGAACCGGAGGGACACCCUCUACCGGUGGUUGUUCGUUCGGCUACUGUGGAUGCCCCUCUAGUCGAAGAGGUUGGAGAGGCCGAAGUUCAGUCGGACGUAUUGGAACAGGGGAAAAAACAAAGACUUAAGACGAGGACAAUACGCGUUAAAGGAACAAAUUAAAGGAUUCGGUAUAUAUUGAAGCCUACACGAGAUUUGUUUGUUCACACAGUUCAGCGUGGUUCUGGUCAAUAGCGGUUACCUAAUCCGAUAACUAAUGAAUCCGAUUAAAAACGAAAGAGGGUCCAUAAAUCAAAAGUAAUUGCGACAGUGACGGCGGAUAAGGCACCAGAGGUAGGACUACAGUAGGAAGUUCAGGGAGCGAGCGAUGCUAACCGAGUAAAAGGAGGACCUAGUCCGCCGCCGCAUGGACGACCACUGUAGCACGAGCCGCCGCCGCCUCGACCACAUGGACCGUUCCCUCCCGCUGGCCCUCCACAGCACCCCGCUCCACACGAGGAUGAAGCCAACCAAGACGCCGUCCCGGUGGCACAGGCACCGCGACGUCCGGCGGCGCGACGAGACGAAGCAGCGCGAGAGGGAGCAGAGGCGGAAGGCCCAGAAGGCGCUCAAGCUGCGGGGACCACGAGUACAACUAACGAGCCCCCUGAGACUGAGGUUCGUCCGCGUUCUCGUUCCUGCUUCCAUCUCCUACUAGGUACUACUUGUUAGCGACUAUAAACCUGGUAGCAAGCAAAUACACAGUUACCAACCGCUACCGCUACGCAGGAACCAAAAGAAAUGCUUACGACAAAAGCCCUCCUCUUUACAACACUUUAUUUGAUAUAACAACAAUCUUUUUUCAACUCCAACACACGGUGUGUGAACUAACUAGUACACGUUCACGUGCAUAUGUCUAUGUUC